rnacentral:misc_RNA from 1 species
GACUUUCAAAUGCUUAAGCUAGAAAGCCAGAGAUUGUUUUCUUGUCAUGCUCAACUUAAGCAUGGGUGCGGUCCCGUUCUGAGCUGGAACUAGAACCAGACAGGCAGUUCCAGUCCUAAGAGCUGGAGGCCUGGGACAGGACCAAAGGGUUCCCCUAUGUUCUAGUCCUGGUUCCAGUUCGGUUUAGUUUCGGUUCAUCCAAUUUGAUCAAAUUCUAGUGUGAAAAUUUUUUUAAUUUUUUUAAUUCUUUUGAAAGUGAGAAAUCCGGUUUUGAUAUUGAACCAGACCGAUUUAAAAAGUGAAAAUUCAGUCCAAAUCUAGACCAGAUCCAUGUCUAGCUCAACUCUCUUAGAAAGGCCACAAAUCCAUUUCUAGAUGGCAAAAAUAAUUAAAAU